UGCAUUUGGUUAUAAGAUUCUAAGCUUCUUAUGAAACACAAAAAUCCAUUAAAUAAUAUCAAAUAAAUAAAAAGACGUUUAAAUACCUUUAGCUUAAGUAGAAAACAAUAAAUCUUGACUUAAAAGGGUAUUGUAUUUUUCGUUUUGUACAUGUUUAGUCAUUGAAAUUUUUUUUUGUCCACAUUUUCCCGCUAAACUUGUUUUGUUGUCCAUAUCUUACCCUUAUGACUGGUUGGUGUGGGUUUAACCGGUUUCCGGCGGUCUUUGCAUUUCCGAUGAUACUCCGGUCAUCUUCUCCGACAAGUCUCUGGACAAUAUGAUUUUUCCGGCGAGUUGUAACACACAAGUAAGGUUUUGAUUUUUCAGAUUAACAACUCAAGAACACACACAACACACUAGAUUUCGAUUUCCAAAAUUAAAUACACAAACACACACCUCACUUCUUGAUCGUCGUUCUCAUUAGCCACUACUACCACCAAGCCCUUCUUCCGCCUCCCUCAUCUCUCUAUUAACAAAUCGAUUACGUUUUCUAGCUAGAUUUGUUUAUCCAAAGCAACCCAAGUCACCAUUAAAAUUGUUUACUGUUCAUUGUCUUCAACCUCCAAGUCACCAUUAAAACCGAGACCUUCACCCCCACAAACCCAGAUCCCGUCUCAAGCUAUUUCCAACAACCUCCGAUCAAACUUCAUUGAUGAGUCCUUCACUUCAAAUGAUUCCCCUUCGUUUUUCUCUGAUGGUUGAAAGUAAGCAAAAUACAAACUAUGCAGCAUAAUGUACAAGCUCGUCAAUGCAUUAUCCUCUGAACCAGCACAAUAGGAGAGAAGGAGGUUGCAAUCAAAAUCGAAGAGGGUGGGUGUCUCUUAUUCGAUCAAAAAUUCCAGAUCUAUCGAGAUCUUCUAAUGGAUCUGCCAUGGAUGAAAUCGUUUUGCUCAAGAAAUCAUUUUUGGUGUUUUAUUCUUCAAAAAACCAAAGUUUUGCUCAAGUAAUUGUUUCAGAUUUGCUCAUGAACGGAGGUUGAAGAUGAUGAACAAUAAUAUGAUGUAUAUUUAUCUGUGUUCAUCACAUAUCUGAUGUAUGUGUUUCAGCCUCCAUAAAUCGAAGUAUAUGUGUGUGUUCAUCAUCUUUGUUUGUAGAUCUUCAUCAUGUUCAUCUUCUUCCCAGAUCUGAGAUUUUGGUUUUUGGAACGAUUUUCAGAGAUCAGUUAGUGUGUUCAUGAUUUUGGAACAACACUCAUACACUUCUCUCUUCUUUCCUUUCUGUAGUCGAUUUUGGAACAACACAUACUAUCUUUCACUCCCUUCGUACACCAUCAUCUGAAAAUCAUAAACCCAAGAACUCGAUUUUAAUGGUGGCUUGGAGGUUAAAGACGAUGAAUAGUGAUCUGAUGUGUAUGUAUGUGUGUUUAUAUAUUUAUUUUUGUAUGUGUUCUUGAAUCUGGAAUAUAUUUGAUGUGUUAAUCUUUGUUUUAUGAAAA